rnacentral:piRNA from 1 species
UCCUUGGAGGCCAGAGGGUAGUCUCGA